UUCUGUAUAUUGAUGUAAUAUUAGAAUACAGUAACUUUGUUAGUCCUCUUUUUCCCAGUAAUCCGACCAACGAACCUACUGCUGUUUUCUGCAGGAGAAUAUAGCCCCUAACCCUCUUGCUAAAGAAGAACUGAACUUCUUAGCCAGGCUGCUGGGAGGUCUGGAGAUCAAGAAACCUGGUGGCAGCGAGACAGGAUUUCGACUGAAUUUAUUCAUGACAGAUGAAGAGGAAGAGCAGGCGGCGCUGACGAGACCUGAGGAGUUAUCUUACAAGGUUGUGAACAUCGAAGCCACUGAGGAGCCGGCGCGGCGAGCGGAGCUGGAGCGAAUCCUGGGAGACCUGGAGGUGGCGGAGCCGUGCGCGGAGAGCUGCGGGAAGGGCGAGGACCUGCUGGCGCUGAUGGACGGGCUGUGAGCCAUUAAAGGCGUUCCUCCCA